GGUCAAGUUAUUAAGGGUGCAGGGCGGAUGCCUUGGCACUAGGAGCCGAUGAAGGACGUGAUAAGCUGCGAUAAGCUUCGGGGAGUUGCACGUAAACUUUGAGCCGAAGAUUUCCGAAUGAGGAAACUCACUUAGAGUAAUGUCUAAGUAUCAUUAAGUGAAUACAUAGCUUAAUGAGGGGAACUCAGGGAACUGAAACAUCUAAGUACCUGAAGGAAGAGAAAGAAAUUCGAUUCCGUAAGUAGCGGCGAGCGAACGCGGAUUAGCCCAAACCAAUAAAGUUUUCUUUAUUGGGGUUGCGGACAUAUCAUAACGAAGAGGUAUCGUAAUUGAAGAGGUUUGGAAAGACCCACCACAGAAGGUAAUAGUCCUGUAUGUUAAACGAGAAGACUUCAGAUAUGAUCCAGAGUACCACGGGACACGUGAAACCCUGUGGGAAGCAGGAGGGACCACCCUCCAAGGCUAAAUACUACCUAGUGACCGAUAGCGUAUAGUACCGUGAGGGAAAGGUGAAAAGAACCCCGGGAGGGGAGUGAAAUAGAACCUGAAACCCUGCACUUACAAGCUGUGGAAGCACAUUUCUUGUGUGACCGCGUACUUUUUGUAGAACGGGCCAACGAGUUACGUUAAGUAGCAAGGUUAAGCACUUAAGGUGUGGAGCCGUAGCGAAAGCGAGUUUUAACUGAGCGUUCAGUUACUUGACGUAGACCCGAAACCGGGCGACCUACCCAUGAGCAGGAUGAAGCGAAAGUAAAAUUUCGUGGAGGUCCGAACCCACGAGCGUUGAAAAGCUCGGGGAUGACUUGUGGGUAGCGGUGAAAUUCCAAUCGAGCCCGGAGAUAGCUGGUUCUCCCCGAAAUAGCUUUAGGGCUAGCCUCAAGGUGAGAGAUACGGAGGUAGAGCACUGAAUGUCCUAGGGGGUAUUGCACCUACCGAAGACUAUCAAACUCCGAAUGCCGUCAUCUUAUACUUGGGAGUCAGACUGUGGGUGAUAAGAUUCAUAGUCGAAAGGGCAACAGCCCAGAUCGUCAGCUAAGGUCCCUAAAUGUAAGUUAAGUGGUAAAGGAUGUGGGAUUGCACAGACAACCAGGAUGUUGGCUUAGAAGCAGCCACUCAUUCAAAGAGUGCGUAAUAGCUCACUGGUCGAGUGAUCCUGCGCCGAAGAUUUCCGGGGCUAAAACUUACUACCGAAGCUACGGCAUCAGUAAUGAUGGGUAGGGGAGCUUCCCAUACGGGUUGAAGCAUGACCGUAAGGACAUGUGGACAGUAUGGGAGUGAGAAUGUUGGCAUGAGUAGCGAGAUGUGGGUGAGAAUCCCACAGGCCGUAAACCCAAGGUUUCCAGGGGAAGGUUCGUCCGCCCUGGGUUAGUCGGGACCUAAGCUGAGGCCGAAAGGCGUAGGUGAUGGACAACAGGUUGAUAUUCCUGUACUACCGAUAACCGUUUGAGAGAAGGGAUGACACAGUAGGAUAAGCUAAGCACACUGUUGGUUAUGUGUGCCCAAGCAUUGAGGCAGUCAAAGUAGGCAAAUCCGCUUUGAUAAUGCUGGGAUGUGAUGGGGAGCGAAAUUUAGUAGCGAAGUAGCUGAUUUCACACUGUCAAGAAAAGUCUCUAUCGAGGUUAAAGGUACCCGUACCGCAAACCGACACAGGUGGGUGAGGAGAGUAUCCUAAGGCCAGCGAGAGAACUGUUGUUAAGGAACUCGGCAAAAUGACCCCGUAACUUAGGGAUAAGGGGUGCCACCAUCAGGUGGCCGCAGAGAAUAGGCCCAAGCGACUGUUUACCAAAAACAUAGGUUUCUGCUAAGUCGCAAGACGAUGUAUAGGAGCUGACGCCUGCCCGGUGCUGGAAGGUUAAGGGGAUCUGUUAGAGCAAUCGAAGCAGUGAACUUAAGCCCCAGUAAACGGCGGCCGUAACUAUAACGGUCCUAAGGUAGCGAAAUUCCUUGUCGGGUAAGUUCCGACCCGCACGAAAGGCGUAACGAUUUGGGCACUGUCUCAACAACAGACUCGGUGAAAUUGUAAUUCCGGUGAAGAUGCCGGAUACCUGCGACAGGACGGAAAGACCCCAUGGAGCUUUACUGUAGCUUGACAUUGGGUCUUGGUACUACAUGUACAGGAUAGGUGGGAGGCUUUGAAACCAGGACGCCAGUUUUGGCGGAGCCAUCCUUGGGAUACCACCCUUGUAGUACUGGGACUCUAACCAUAGGCCAUGAAUCUGGUCUUGGGACACUGUCAGGUGGGCAGUUUGACUGGGGCGGUCGCCUCCCAAAAGGUAACGGAGGCGCUCAAAGGUUCUCUCAGUACGGUCGGAAAUCGUACGUAGAGUGUAAAGGCAAAAGAGAGCUUGAUUGCAAGACAUACAGGUCGAGCAAGGAUGAAAAUCGGACUUAGUGAUCCGGUGGUUCUGCGUGGAAGGGCCAUCGCUCAACGGAUAAAAGCUACCCUGGGGAUAACAGGCUUAUCUCCCCCAAGAGUCCACAUCGACGGGGAGGUUUGGCACCUCGAUGUCGGCUCAUCACAUCCUGGGGCUGUAGUAGGUCCCAAGGGUUGGGCUGUUCGCCCAUUAAAGUGGUACGCGAGCUGGGUUCAGAACGUCGUGAGACAGUUCGGUCCCUAUCCGUCGCAGGCGUAGGAAAUUUGAGAAGACCUGUCCUUAGUACGAGAGGACCGGGAUGGACGUACCUCUGGUGUACCAGUUGUUCUGCCAAGGGCAUGGCUGGGUAGCUAUGUACGGAAUGGAUAAGCGCUGAAAGCAUCUAAGCGCGAAGCCAACUUCAAGAUAAGAUUUCCCACCGUAAGGGUAAGCCCCCAGAAAGACUAUCUGGUUGAUAGGUCGAAGGUGUAAGUGCAGCAAUGUAUUUAGCUUAUCGAUACUAAUAGGUCGAGGACUUGACCAA
rnacentral:rRNA from 1 species